rnacentral:lncRNA from 1 species
GUCCACUUUCUUUUAUUUAUCUGCCUACCUGUUUAGCUACCCAAAACAUAUCAUAAAAGGGUGUUCUUUCAUCUUCUCUAAUUCCUGAGGGCUUGACUGCUCUCUAAAGGAAUGAAAUUCGAAUGUCCUGUUUGAAGGAGGUGACACAUCUCUGUGUCUUAGAUUUGGACAAAGAAACUGUUCAUAAUCUUUGGUAAAAUAAUCUACAACUACUUAGAAACAGCCUCAGGAACUGCAUCUCUCUUUUGAGGUUUCCCAGCAAAAAUCCCCACCACAUACUGCUUGUACAUUUCUGUCUAUAGACACGUCCCUGUUCAGACCAUCACCUUCGCUCUUCCACUUUUAUUGGAUAAGUGCAGCUGUGAAGAACCAAAAACAAUACAGACUGGGAAAGAACAAUGGAGAUUCUCGAAUUCUAAAGCUGUACCAUAAUUUCUAGUUUCACUUCUCCUCUCUUCCCCGCCUCCCCCAGUCUCCUAUCCAAUUUGCAGGACCACGUGUGCGGUUCUGCAUCCCACAGUCUCUUCUCGAGUUUCUUAUACAGUUUUUGUUUUUUUCCUCUCAAGUAGUCAGGGAAAAAAAAAUGCCGAGGGGGAAAAAGGCCUGAAAUCGAAUUGCAGAUCCACCAGGCAGAGCUAUAGGUCGCGCCUGCACACAGUACCAGCUCCCAGAGUCUCCCAGGACUUCUAGGAGACUGCCUCAAAAUACACCAGCGUCCUAGGCUUGAGAAACGAGAUAAGCCUUGCUAGAUUUCCGUAGAGUGAAGGUGAAAUCGACGAGAGAAAACCCUUCUACCUGAGAAAUCUGGUCAAGAAUCCUAGUGUUGCAUUCCUCACUUGGUCUCCUAAGCUGACAGUGAAUGAAGAUAAAAGUGGUGACCCUACACCCAGGCAGGACUGUAAAUCCACGCUGUUUGCCUGUGACUGAUUUGGGAUUUGGAUUUCUGAUCUGGCUGAGUGAUGUGUAAAAACCUCAAGUAGUCAACAGCUCCCUAUUGGCUAUGCAUCUGAGGGGCUCAAGAGCAUUGUUUAUUCCAGCAAGUGUCUGGAAUACAUUAUACUGGAUGAAUUGGCUCCUGCUACUCCCGUUUUGGAGAAUAUGAAGAAUUUUAUACUGUGCUAAAAUAAAUGUACUUUGUGCAAAUAACUUUCCUAAAUAAAAAAUUUUGAAUAUGACUCUAUCUUCUGAAUCCACUACUGCCAAUAUUUUAAACAUAUGGCCUUUCUGAAAGAGUAGUGAUGAAAUAAUUCUCCACACCUUCAAAUUCAGAAACUCGUUCAACAUUUAGAUCGGUUUUUAUCCAAGGCCAUAUGAAAGUGGGUUUCCCUAAAAAAAUAAAAUGGUCAGAUAUUUGGGUUGAGAACUGUUCUCUCAAACUUUAAGAAUACUAGGAUAAAGUAUCAAAAUAAUUCUUCUAUUAAUACAUAAAAAUUUUAGGUGAUAU